rnacentral:lncRNA from 1 species
UCCAGUGCUGCAGUCGCUAUGACCAGAAAUAAAAGAGUUCUUUUUGUUUGUUCCUUUCGUGGCCUUGACGACGUUCUCGGGAGAAGCAGCUCAAUAGUCAAUAUCAGAUGGUUCUAGAAGAGUUGCUUCAUAAGUACCACUGCUGUGAUCUUUUCUGUAGGUUCCCAUGACAAUGCUAUAGGGGCUUUGUUUGUUCAUGGGAACUUGAGGAACACAGGGAAUUCUUGUUCAAUAAUGAACGCAAUGCGGCUUGGAAAAGACUCUUGGUAGACACGAACAAAAAAGUAUAGCCAGAGCAGCCUUCAGAAAUCAUUCCUGCAGUUUUUGGAAGCGUUUCUCAAGGUCUGAAUGGAGGCUGUGAAGUUACUAACAAAAUGAACAGGCUCUGCUUUUCAUAAUUGGCUUCAUGACUGUGGGUUUUGGCAACAACUCUAGAGGAACACAGGGCCCGGAAGAGGGGCACAAUGAAGCCACUCACUGUAAUAACUUAAGCAACAACAAUGCACCUUUUCAGAUUAAUGCCAAGAAAAUAUAUGCAGAAGAGACACCCAUGUCAUUGAACAAGAGGUUCUAAUAUUACAUAACAGGGUAGUGGUAUGUAGCUGUAGUGGUAUGUGCUCUCUCUCAAUGCUGAGCUGCAGCUCCCAGUCAGCCACUGGAUCAUGAGGGUAAAAUACGGAUACUUGACAUCUUCUUAAAGAACAUCAUGCCUGCUAAGCCAUCCAGUUUGGAUGCCCCAGUGCCUUCCACCAGCCAUUCUCAAGCCUCAUUAGAAGAGAGAGAUUGAUGACCCUGUAGCUGCAGCAUCCCAUCAUCCUGCAUUUUAGUUCAAUGCUUCAAACGUUCUUCAGGCCCAGUGUGCUUUCAGCUGUGUAUGUUAAUGGGAGAGUGAGCAAGUUUCGUCCUUGUGCCUGCAUCUGCUGGGAAACGAUAAGAGCCCAACAUAUGUUAGAAGCAACAAUCGCAGACAAAGAGUACAACUUGUUUUUGAAGGUGCAUCUCCUGCUGUUCCCAAUCUACUCAUCCUAGGAACCAACUCAGGCUACAAACCUGUACAGCAUGUGAUUCUACUGAAUAUACGGGCAAUUGUUAACACAAUGAUGUGAUGACUGAUUUCCAGCAGCUGAAGGGAAGUCUUUUGGAUUAACUUUUGUGAUUGAUUUGCUCUGGGUUCAGUCAGCCUGCAAGG